AUACGUAGGGAGCGAGCGUUGUCCGGAAUUACUGGGCGUAAAGGGCGCGUAGGCGGCGCUUCAAGUCGUCUGUCAAAUGGGAGGGCUUAACCCUUUUUCGCAGACGAAACUGGAGAGCUUGAGAAGCAGAGAGGCAAACAGACUUCCUGGUGUAGCGGUGAAAUGCGUAGAUAUCAGGAAGAAUACCAGUGGCGAAGGCGGUUUGCUGGCUGCAUACUGACGCUGAAGCGCGAAAGCCAGGGGAGCAAACGGGAUUAGAUACCCCGGUAGUCCUGGCAGUAAACGAUGUAUGCUGGGUGUGAGGCUAGCGAUAGUUUCGUGCCGAAGUUAACGCGAUAAGCAUACCGCCUGGGGAGUACGGUCGCAAGAUUGAAACUCAAAGGAAUUGACGGGG
rnacentral:rRNA from 1 species